rnacentral:rRNA from 1 species
CACGUAGGGGGCAAGCGUUGUCCGGAAUUAUUGGGCGUAAAGAGCUCGUAGGCGGUCUGUCGCGUCGGAUGUGAAAAUCCAGGGCUCAACCCUGGACCUGCAUUCGAUACGGGCAGACUAGAGUUCGGCAGGGGAGAACGGAAUUCCUGGUGUAGCGGUGAAAUGCGCAGAUAUCAGGAGGAACACCGGUGGCGAAGGCGGUUC